rnacentral:rRNA from 1 species
UGAGGAAUCUUCCACAAUGGGGGCAACCCUGAUGGAGCAAUGCCGCGUGCAGGAUGAAGGCCUUCGGGUUGUAAACUGCUUUUGUACGGAACGAAAAGCUUCUGGUUAAUACCUGGGAGUCAUGACGGUACCGUAAGAAUAAGCACCGGCUAACUACGUGCCAGCAGCCGCGGUAAUACGUAGGGUGCGAGCGUUAAUCGGAAUUACUGGGCGUAAAGCGUGCGCAGGCGGUUAUGCAAGACAGAUGUGAAAUCCCCGGGCUCAACCUGGGAACUGCAUUUGUGACUGCAUAGCUGGAGUGCGGCAGAGGGGGAUGGAAUUCCGCGUGUAGCAGUGAAAUGCGUAGAUAUGCGGAGGAACACCGAUGGCGAAGGCAAUCCCCUGGGCCUGCACUGACGCUCAUGCACGAAAGCGUGGGGAGCGAAC